AGAGCUGAGUAGUUGUGACAGACACCAUAUGGCCUGCAAAGCCUAAAAUAUUUACUAUCUGGUCCUUUGCAGAAAAAGCUUGCCAACCUCUGGCAUAAAUAGAUGCCACAGUCUGAGAGAUCAGGAAAAUGGGUAAACUAAGAUAGGCUGGUAGAGUAGUUGGUCAUUUACAAAUUCUCAGCUCCUUUCCUUGGAUUUUAAUCUCAGAUCUGCCACAUACUAGAAUGAUUUAACCUUCUCAAACUGCAGUUUUAUCUGUAAAAAUGAGAAGGAUUAGAUUAAAUAAAACUACACUUAAAAGCAUUGCAACCUUUGUACUAGGUAAAAGGAAGAAAGGUGAAUGAAUCAUUGUUUUUGCCCUCUAGUUGCUCAAAGUUGAUCUGUAGGUUCUAUUUUAUCUUUACUUUAAGAGGUUGUUUAGUGAUUAGGAUUGUGUGCACUGGAGUGAGGCCUAGGACUCUGUUGAAAAUCUGGUUCUGCUACUUACUAGCAAUAUAAUCUUGAGAGAAUCCUUAAUGCUCUUUAGGGUAUUCAUGAAAGCGGAGGUAAUAUCUAUCAAAAUGUCAUGGUUAGGUUAAAUUAGAUAAUGCAGAUAAAGUAUUUAAUACAACGCAGGUCUAUCAAUUUGGUUGCUUCUGGUGUUAUUCA
rnacentral:lncRNA from 1 species